rnacentral:tRNA from 1 species
CCCUUAAAAUAAUGCUCAAAAACUGGUUAAAACCGCCCUUUCACGGCGGCAACAGGGGUUCGAAUCCCCUACGGGGAC